GGGGUGUAGCGUAGCCCGGUUAUCGCGCCGCGUUUGGGACGCGGAGGUCGUCACGCUUUGGGCGUGACCACCCCA
rnacentral:tRNA from 2 species